AUUUAAUCCUCUGGCAGGUACUGGACAGGAUGGGAGACUUCGCCGGCAACAACAGUCAAGCACAGGAGGAUGAGUGUCGGAAGAGGAGGCCGCGGACCGGAGCAAAGAACCGGGAUUUCAAGCAAAAACGUUCGGUUCCACGUCACGUAACUCGGGAAAAGGGAAAAUUAUUCUUCGGAUCAACCGGGAAGAUAAAGUCGAGGUUGGAGCAGAACUCCUCGAAGGAAAUGAGAGAGCGAUGCUGAUAAGACAAGAGCAACGCAUCUCCGGGCCGUUGCCUUGCACAAACUGAUAACAUCAGGCUGCUGAGAGUUCGGCGGCACCAGGAGACUCCGAGUUCUGAAAGGAUGAUUGACGUGCCUUUGCAGCGCGGAACGGGAUGAUGUUCUGAUAUGGGAACAGGACGAGGCAGAAGAAAACAUGUAGACCGGACCAGGGGGGAGGCUGCAUCAGAGGGAGUAGGAUAUUGAUUACUGUGUCGGCCCCGUGAUCUGAACAGUGCGGAAGACAAGAGCUGCCUAAGCAACUGGGUUGUCAAGGUUCCUCCAUCAGCUGCAUCUGGACGUCUUUUAUCUGUUCAGAGCCGUCAGAGUGGGAGAAAAGUUUGUAGAGCUAUAUAUUUUUUUUUUUUACUUAUUUUGUUUGUUUGCCUUCUAAUCACAUCUAAAGUUACACAUUUACUCCUCUGUCUAACAAUAAGAGUGUAGAAACUAUAUUUUGAUUAUUGUAGUCCUCAUUUGCUCUGAGAUAUAAUCUCAUGGGCCUGCUUAGAAAAUUACAAAUUCAUUUUUUUUUCCAUUAUUUAUUUAUUUUGUUGGUUCUUUAUAGAGUUUUUGAGCUGUCGGUGUCCUAUCAGCAGUAUACAUUGUUUAUCUUUGUCUUUGUCUUUUUUUUUUCUUUUUUUUUUGUGAG